rnacentral:lncRNA from 1 species
GCUGGACCCAGUGGUGUGGUUUGGUCCCAGCUACCCAAGAGGCUGAUUGUUUAUGACCAGAUUCUCUCCAGCACCUAGGACUGCCUGCUGUGAAUCUCAAUGUCUGCCCUAGAAGACUAUGCUAUCCCAAGAAGACAGAGCACACCUCAUACCCAGAUCUUUGUUUGCAAAGACUACGUUACCCGAACAGUGUCCAGAGCUCCUUAAAGAAGUGGCUGAUUCUGGGUCUGGGAUAAGACAUACAAGAUAAGCCUGGGUCAUCUGAUACCAUAACGAAAGAAAUGUCAGAUGAGAGAGCUGGCAAGAUGGCUCCACAGGCAAAGAGCUUGCCUGACAGGAGAGAAUGACUCCAGAGUUCUCCUCUGACCCCCACGUGUGCAUCUAACCCCACCCCACACAUACAUCUCACACACUAAUAACAACUCUUUAAAAAAGUGAUACUCAUCAAAAAGGACAUAGAAACCAGCUGAAGAGGCUACCAUGACCAUAUUUGGGACUAUUUGAUCAAUAAAAUAUACAUGUGUACUGUGGCAGGUUUUGGUGGGGCAAUACAGGGUCUCACUAUGUAUAUAGAUCAGGCUGGCCUCGAACUCAUAGAACUUGUCUCUGACUCCUGAGUGCUAGGAUUAAAGGCAUGUGCCACCACAUCCAACAUACCAAAUUACAUAUUGAAUUAAGUAAAAUAUGAGCCCAUGCUGACCAAACACCAAAACCAAAACCAAACAAAUAGAAGUACACGAGCUGAGUGCUAGGUGAGGGGCGGGUGCUUCACCAUUCCCAGAGGCCCAGGGAGGACAUUGCUACGGAGGAACCUGGCAGGCCCUGCCCUCCAGCAAACGACCUGGUGGAUAUCAUCCACAGAGAACAGACUGCAACGUCGCAAUCUCUGUUAGAACCACAGACACACGAUCACUCCUGUAGCCUCCUGCCAAAGCUGAAGGACCUGAAUCUCUUCACAAGGAAACGUCAGAGGAGCUGAGACUGAGAUGCAGUCUAGAAAAUCCCCGGCUGAUAAUAUUCAAAACCUCCGUGUUCUGAAAAGCAGGCACACACUGACAGGAAUGCCAAAAUCUCCGAAUGGGCCUGUAGAGGUUACUUCUGUUGGUUCAGUUUAACAUUUUGUUAGAUCUGUUUUGCUAUGCAUGCGUGUUUUGCCUGCGUGUAUGUGCUUGGAGGCUGUGUAGCUCAGAAGAGGGUGUCAGAUCCCUGAAAUUGGAGCCACCCAUGGCUGUGAGCCACCACUGUAUGUGCAAUAUAUGUGGGGUGUAUGGAUGCACACGUGGAGGUCAGAGGACUACUCUGAACCACAAACAAGUGCUUGUUUUGUGUGUUGAGCUGUCUCCCAUGCCUUCCAUCAUUGUUUUUUGUUUGUUUGUUUGUUUGUUUGUUUACACAGUUCCUUUGUUUAUGAUACCAGAUGGGUGGGUGGGUUGGUUUUUUUGAGACGAGGUCUCUCUUUGUAGCUGUAGCUGUCCUGGAACUCAUUAUGUAGACCAAGCUGACCCAGAACUCACUAUGUAGACCACACUGGCCUGAAACUCACUAUGUAGACCAGGCUGGCCUGAAACUCACAGUGCUGGGACCACACCUGGGACCAAUCUUGUUUGUGUUUCAUGAGUUGCACAUGAAGAUUGGACAAUGUGCAUUUUUAAGGUCACUAUGUCCUGUUAAGGGAAUUGUUUAUUUUUAUUAUUAUUAUUAUUAUUACUAUUAAUUUUAUUUUUGAUUCAGGGUUCCGUGUAUUUCAGGCUAUUAUGAAAUUCACUGUGUAGCCUAUAAUGACCUUGAACUAUAUCUCUAAAGUGUUGGGAUUACAGGCAUAUAUCACUGAAAUCCAGUUUAUGCCAUGCUGGAGAGAGAACCCAGAGCCUCAAGCAUUCCAGCAAACACUGCAUGCUCAGCUACACCUCCAGCGCUCAUUUGCCAUUUCCCCACAUCAUCAGCCAUACUUCUGAUCUCAAAGCCCAUUUUUAUAACAACAGAGCUGCACUAACAUUCUCAGGAUUAGUGUUUGGUUCUUUUGAGCCUUUUACUUUUGGUCCUUCUAUGUUUAUAUCUAUUGUGUACCUUCUGUUAGUAGCAGGAACUUCAUUUAAAACACACACACACACACACACACACACACACACACACACACACACGACAAGGUAUAUCUUUUACUGAAGUAUUUAGCCCACUUGGAGUCACCACAGCUCCUAGCAUGGUUAGGCUCAGUCUGCCAUUUUGCCCUUUCUGUUCGCCUGACUUGUCCUCAUUUUCUUGAGGAUUAGCCUUGAACUUUGCAGUGUUCUCAUUUGCCUCGUUUGCUUUCUAGCUACACCCAGCAGAGUUCUAACUCUCCCAUCUGUCUUUCUAUCACUUAUUGAUCUAGGGAGAGAAUUUAUUACGUAAAGAGUCAGUACAGACUCUUGAGUCAUUACAACUCACCUUGAAUUAACAUUACUCUAUUUCUCAGAGACACAACAGUACUUCAUGUUGUUUCCCAUCCUGUGUUGUUUUGUUGUGCAUUUUAUCUUCUCUAUGUGUUAUAAACCCCUCUAAACACUGUUUUCAACUUUGGCAAUGAAUAGUCUUUCAAAGUCUUCUGUCUUAAAUUUUUUUUUAGAUUCACAAGAAGAAAGUAACAUGAAAUCCUGACUGCCCAUCCCUCACCACAUAGUGCCACAUUGCCUGAUCACUACCAUAGAACUAGGAAGCCUAUUGGUUCAGGACUUUAGACUGUUUCUUUCCCAGAUUUUUGCAGAUAAGUGCAUAAGUGUGCCUUUCUGCAGUGUGCGCUUGUGUGGUUUAUAUAGUUACCCAUGAAGAUAGACCUGUCCACUGCUGCACAGGAAUGACCGGGCGCUUUGGUGUAAUGCUCAUUUCUUGUCCCUCCACUCUCUGUUCUCCUGGCACCCAUGAACUUGUUCUCCAUCUCUACAAUUACUUUGAGAAUGCUGUAGAAUUUAACUCUUAUAGGAUAUAGUCUUGAGAUAGCUUUUCAUUCUUUAAUGAUGCCCUAAAAUCCAAUCAACCAUGUGUGUCACUGAUCAAUACAUUUUGCCCCUUUUAAUUACAGAGUAGUGUUCCAUUAUAGAAAUCUAUCACAGUUAGUUUAUCUAUUCACCUGCUGCCUUAAUUACUUUUGUAUUGGUCUGAUAAGACACCAUGGUCAAGGGAACUUAGAGGGGUGGGAAUUUACAAGGGCUUACAGUUUCUGAGUGUGAGUCUGAGACCAUUAUGGCAGUGCACAGGUGGGUAUGAUGCCGACAGUAGCUGAAGCUUACAUCUGUUCCACAAGCAGGAAGCAGGCAGAGAGCUAAAACGGAGUGUGGGUACCACUGGGAAUGGUGAAGGCUUUGAAACCUCCAAGCCCUCACCCAGUGACACAUCUCCUCCAACAAGGCCACACCUCCUAAUUCUUCCAAAACAGUUCCAUUACCUGGAGACCAAGUAUUCAAACUUAAGGGCCUUUGGGAGCCAUUCUCAUUCAGAUUACUGCACCUGUUGAGGGCAUUUGGACAUUUUUAUAUUUUGGCAGUUAUGAAUAAACCUUCUAGAAACACUCAUGCACAAGGUUUUAUGUGAGACAAUAGUUCUCAUUCCUCUGGGAUAAAUUCCCAAGAUGGCAGGUGCUGGGCCAGUGGUAGGUAGGUGUUGUGGGUGGGUGUUGUAACCACUUGGUGUUCUCCAGAGUGUAUCCACCUCACACCCUGUCAUGGGCCUAUGUGUGAGAGCCACUCCCUCACAGUCUGAGCAGCCUACUUACUGACAUCCCAUUAGACUUUUAACACCAUUUUAUGGUGGUUCAAGUCUUCAUUUCCCCACAGUCAAUAGUGUUGAAGUCUUUGCUCAUGGUUAUCUGCCACCCGCUGGUCUGGCUUGGUGAAAAAUCCAUUAAUGCUUUUGGCCCAAUUUCUUUCUUUUUCCUGUUUUGAUUUUUUUGAGACAUGAUCUUGAGAUGUAGCUCAGCCUGGGCUUGCACGAGGAUGAAGGAGAAUGUGUAGAUUUUGUACUUCUGACCGUGGGUCACCUCUUUAAAUAUACUUCCCAAAUUCAUCUGUUUUUCUGCAAAUUCCACUUUUUUUCCAGUAGAAUAAAAUUCUGAUUAUUUUCAGAGUUCCUUUCCUUCCCUUUGUACCUUUACACCUGCUCACUCACCUUACGUUUUUCAUUUUAACUCAUUUCACACACACACACACACACACACACACAGACGCACACAUGCACACACACACACACACACACACACACAGACGCACACACACACACACAGACGCACACAUGCACACACACACACACAGAGUUAUUGUUUUUAUAAGGUUUUUUUUUUUUGGUCUGGUAAUUCUGAUAUCUUAGCCAUGCAUGGAUUUUUAUUAAUUUGCUGUUUCCUCUUGAUUAAAGAUUUCGUGUUGUGAUCAUUUUUUCCUGACGUUGUCAGACAUUGUUAAUGAUAUGUGUAUAGAUUCUGGGCUCCGCUGCUUUUGUUUGAGGUUGGAUAGCUUUUGUCCUAGAGAUGGCUAGAUUAUUAUUAGUGGCUACACUUGAUCUCAUACCGUUUGGGCUUUGAGCCAGGUUAUUAUUUUUUUUCCUUUACAGCUGAAAACUUUUGACAAAUGGAUUGUAAUAAAUCUCAGUGAAAAAUCUUGCAUGUUUUCAGACUUACAGUAAAUAACAGCCUAUGAUGUUGAUAUAUUGGAAAUAGUGUGGAUGCAGGCUCCCGUUAAUGUAAGUGAGGAUUUCUUCAGAAUCUAGACCAAUUCCAAUCAUUUUAAAUAUCAGAGUCCCUCUUGGAGGGAGUCUUAAAAUCAUGAUCUGCUGUAACACACCUCAUUUUAUCACUUAAAGAGUUUUCAUCACAGUUAUGAAAUCUUUGUAUUACAGUCUUUAAAUUUGUAUUGUAUUUAUUUAAUUUAUGUGUGGUACACAUGUGUGUCAAAUUCUUGUAGAUAUCAGAGGACAACUUACAGGGAUUUUCUCUUACUGUCUUGUGGGUCCCAGGGAUCAAGCUCAGGCCAUCAGGCUCAGCUGCAAGUGCCUGAGCUUGCUGAGCCCACUUCCUGGCUCAGAGUUACUAUCCUUGUUAUACAAUAACUGCAUCACAGUUGUACCACAAACACUUAGAUGAGCUCACAGAGAGAUUCUCUAUGGAGAGGCUUACUGCAGCAUUGUUUAUAACACAAAGAACAGAGAAAAGCAACCAUGUAUCUAUUUGUAGAUAAUUGAUUAAACAAAUGUACCUCAAGUUCUAUAUAUUCUAUACAAUGGAAUGUCAUACAAAUAACAUCCCUGUAUUUAAGGCUGUAGGAAAACACAUCCAUUGUGUAUUGAUCAAGAAAAGCUUGUUAAACAGAAUAAUCUGU